GACAGUUUGUUAGCUAAAUUAUAUAGCAUGAUACAUAUCCCUGCUUGAGUGUGCGGGCAUACUUGGCCAAUAAAACUGAUUCUGAAUCUGAUUCAGAAAAAUGGCAGUGAUCCGUACGGAAGCCAAAGGAAUCGACUCUUAUUGAAGAGCUGAGCCAAAGGAUUCGGUUCACUUAAAAGAGCCAGUGCUUUCCGUCACUGAAGGAAGUGAAGUGCGCGGUGAAAAAGCAUCAUAAUGGACGCUACAGUGGCAUGUAAUAAUUGUGGCUUACCGUACACGUUGUCUGGUAAAAAAAAAAAAAAAAAAAAAAGUUUUAAACAAAUUCUCUGUAUUUACUUAUACAAGUAUUUUCCGGACGCAUCUUGGUUACACACUGCUGAAUGCGCUGAAUGCAAUGUGGUUUCAGAACACACCUAAUUAACCUAAUUAAUUACAAGACUACAUCCUCAAAGUGAGCGUUUUAAAGCUAAACAAUGAGACUUAAUUGAUAAACAUGGCCUUCAAGUUAGCUUGAGUUUAGUUGGCUAGCUAGCUAACGUUUUGCAUUAAAGCUUAAUUUUCUUUUUUUUUUUUUUUUUUUUUUGCAGCGUGGUUUCUUAAAAAUGAUAAACAACCAAAUUCCACACAGCAAAUGUUAGCCAUGUGAAAUGUUAAGAGCAGUGGGGGAAAUUUCCUCCAUGUGAUGUUUAGCUUCAUAAAUAAGUGAACUUGAUGUUUUUUGGUGGUUUUGUUGCUGUUUACAGAGGGUAAGAUUGUGGGGAGGCUGCCCCAUGUGCUCUUCUGUGUGGAGUGUCUCUGCUCUCUGGAGUGUCCUCAGGACUCCAACUCUGUCCCCUCAGUCAGCUGUCCCGAGUGUAGGACAGCGAUAAAGAGGGCAGGACCUGGUCAGACCUCCAGUCAGACGUGGAAGUGUCUGGGUAAAGACCACCAAGAGAUGCUGCAGAACUGGCAGCCGAUGGACGAUAUGCCGUGUGAGCGUAUUCUUCUGCUUUCUGAUUAACUUUCUUUGCCAUGCUGAGGGAGGUGUUGACUAAAUUAGAGAUGGUGCUGGACCAACAAACCACUGAGAUUGCUUCAACUACAGGAGGUCCAGCUGCAGCCUUUGGAUGUUGAUGAAGAUUUACUGCCCUGCAAGACCUUCCUCAACUGCGUAGUCUGGAGCGAAGGAUGCAACAGAGCCCAGAUUACAAGCAAGAUCUGUUCAUAGAAACCUCUUUACGCCUAAAGCUGCAGCGAUGGAGGUCGAGGGGACCAUGAAGAGGUGGCUCCAGCUGGCAUCAGAUCAAGAGUGUGGGUGCAAGAGAAGUCUUUUGCAAAAAG